AUCAAAAUCACUGACAAAGUCAUUUUUUAAUCGUAAUUAGUUUAAUAAUUUCAGUCAUUAAUUAAAGCUAAUAACAUUUUUUAUUGCAUGUUUAGAGUUACGGUGUUUGAGUUCAUAUCAGAGUCUUGAUUUCCAAAAAUAAACUUUAUAAUUAUGACUUUCAGGUUUUCUCAUCAUUUCUUAUGUCUAAUGUUGGAGCCCUAAAGUAAAUGAAGAUACAGUUUAUCUGCAGGACUUCAGAACAGCCACACUUUUAAACUCUCUGGAAAAACAAAACCUUCAACUUUCCUCCUGCUGUUUUCUCAUCAAGACUAAAAGCAGGUCGAAGAAUCAAACUCUGACGACGCUCUGACUUCUAAAGGACUUUGCUCUUACGUAAGAACGUUUCCCAGGUGUGCAGAAAAACACACGGGGUCGCCCUCGUGUCGCCUUCACAGGGAGAGGAGAGGUGUGGUCUCAACAGGUAGGCUGAUGUAAUCUCUGCUGUAAGGAGGAGGAGGAGGAGGUGCUGCUGCAUGAAAGGAGGACAUGAGCCUGACCUCAUUAUUCCUGAGUCUAUUAGUCAUGCCUGUUUUAGUGGUGACACAAACACCAUGCAUGACUUAUUUUAUAUCUGCCUGUGAAAUGAGAGCCGACUGGUCUGAAAGAUCACAAAAAAAUGAAUGAAGCAAGACGAUUAAGGAGGAAAUUUACAAAGGUUUAUAAAAUGAGUCACAUACUGUCUUAC